AGUGAACGCUGGCGGUAUGCCUAACACAUGCAAGUCGAACGGACGCACAGUAAGAGCUUGCUCUUGCGGGUAGCGACUGGCGGAUGGGUGACGCAUACAUCGGCAUCUUCUUUUUCGUGGGGGAUAACGUAGGGCAACUUAUGCUAAUACCGCAUAUGACCUACGGGAGAAAGCAGGGGAUAUUCGGACCUUGCGCGAUUGAAUGAGCCGAUGUCGGAUGAGCUAGUUGGCGGGGUAAAGGCCCACCAAGGCAACGAUCCGUAGCUGGUCUGAGAGGAUGAUCAGCCACACUGGAACUGAGACACGGUCCAGACUCCUACGGGAGGCAGCAGUGGGGAAUAUUGGGCAAUGGGCGCAAGCCUGAUCCAGCCAUACCGCGUGGGUGAAGAAGGCCUUCGGGUUGUAAAGCCCUUUUGUUGGGAAAGAAAAACAGCAGGUUAAUACCCCGCUGUUCUGACGGUACCCAAAGAAUAAGCACCGGCUAACUUCGUG
rnacentral:rRNA from 1 species